rnacentral:rRNA from 1 species
GACGAACGCUGGCGGCGUGCCUAAUACAUGCAAGUCGAACGCAGUGGGGACGGGUGAGUACCACGUGGGUAACCUCCCAUCAGAGGGGAUAACACUUGGAAACAGGUGCUACACCUAUCCUGAUGGCUUGACCCGCGGUGCAUUAGCUAGUUGGUGAUGGAACGGCUCACCAAGGCCACGAUGCAUAGCCUAACGGAGAGGGGGAUCGGCCACACUGGGACUGAGACACGGCCCAGACGCAUACGGGAGGCAGCAGUAGGGAAUCUUCGGCAAUGGACGAAAGUCUGAACGAGCAACGCCGCGUGAGUGAAGAAGGUUUGCGGAGCGUAAAACUCUGUUGUUAGAGAAGCGGUAUCUAACCAGAAAGCCACGGCUAACUACGUGCCAGCAGCCGCGGUAAUA